GAUGAACGCUGACAGAAUGCUUAACACAUGCAAGUCUUUGGCGAAUCUGCGCUUGCGCAGGCUAGCCAAGGCGGACGGGUGAGUAGCGCGUAAAGAACUUGCCCUGCAGACAGGGAUAACAGACGGAAACGACUGACAACACCUGAUACGGUUGCCGGCACGCAUGUGCCAGGCAAUGAAAAGCGAUGCUGCAGGAGAGCUUUGCGUCCUAUUAGCUUGUUGGUGAGGUAACGGCUCACCAAGGCGACGAUAGGUAGCCGGCCUGAGAGGGUGAACGGCCACAAGGGGACUGAGAUACGGCCCUUACUCCUACGGGAGGCAGCAGUGGGGAAUAUUGGACAAUGGGGGCAACCCUGAUCCAGCAAUUCUGUGUGCACGAAGAAGGCUUUCGGGCUGUAAAGUGCUUUCAGCAGGGAAGAAGCAAGUGACGGUACCUGCAGAAGAAGCGACGGCUAAAUACGUGCCAGCAGCCGCGGUAAUACGUAUGUCGCAAGCGUUAUCCGGAAUUAUUGGGCAUAAAGGGCAUCUAGGCGGCCAGGCAAGUCUGGGGUGAAAACCUGCGGCUCAACCGCAGGCCUGCCCUGGAAACUGCGUGGCUAGAGUGCUGGAGAGGUGGACGGAACUGCACGAGUAGAGGUGAAAUUCGUAGAUAUGUGCAGGAAUGCCGAUGAUGAAGAUAGUUCACUGGACGGCAACUGACGCUGAAGUGCGAAAGCCGGGGGAGCGAACAGG
rnacentral:rRNA from 1 species